UACGUAGGGUGCAAGCGUUGUCCGGAAUUAUUGGGCGUAAAGAGCUCGUAGGCGGUCUGUCGCGUCUGCUGUGAAAACUCAGGGCUUAACCCUGAGCUUGCAGUGGGUACGGGCAGACUAGAGUGCGGUAGGGGAGACUGGAAUCCUGGUGUAGCGGUGAAAAAUGCGCAGAUAUUCGGAGGAACACCAGUGGCGAAGGCGGGCUCACUGGUCCGGUACUGACGCUGAG
rnacentral:rRNA from 1 species